CCCUGGUAGUCCACGCCCUAAACGAUGUACACUAGUUGUUGGGGUGCUAGUCAUCUCAGUAAUGCAGCUAACGCAUUAAGUGUACCGCCUGGGGAGUACGGUCGCAAGAUUAAAACUCAAAGGAAUAGACGGGGACCCGCACAAGCGGUGGAGCAUGUGGUUUAAUUCGAAGAUACGCGAAGAACCUUACCUGGGCUUGAUAUCCUAAGAACCUUUUAGAGAUAAGAGGGUGCUAGCUUGCUAGAACUUAGAGACAGGUGCUGCACGGCUGUCGUCAGCUCGUGUCGUGAGAUGUUGGGUUAAGUCCCGCAACGAGCGCAACCCACGUAUUUAGUUGCUAACGGUUCGGCCGAGCACUCUAAAUAGACUGCCUUCGUAAGGAGGAGGAAGGUGUGGACGACGUCAAGUCAUCAUGGCCCUUAUGCCCAGGGCGACACACGUGCUACAAUGGCAUAUACAAUGAGACGCAAUACCGCGAGGUGGAGCAAAUCUAUAAAAUAUGUCCCAGUUCGGAUUGUUCUCUGCAACUCGAGAGCAUGAAGCCGGAAUCGCUAGUAAUCGUAGAUCAGCCAUGCUACGGUGAAUACGUUCCCGGGUCUUGUACUCACCGCCCGUCACACCAUGGGAGUUGAUUUCACUCGAAGCCGGAAUACUAAACUAGUUACCGUCCACAGUGGAAUCAGCGACUGGGGUGAAGUCGUAACAAGGUAACCGUAGGAGAACCUGCGGUUG
rnacentral:rRNA from 1 species